GACGAACGCUGGCGGCGUGCCUAAUACAUGCAAGUUGAGCGGUGAAGAUUGGUGCUUGCACCAAUUUUAAGAGCAGCGCACGGGUGAGUAACGCGUGGGGAAUCUGCCUUUGAGCGGGGGACAACAUUUGGAAACGAAUGCUAAUACCGCAUAACAACUUUAAACAUAAGUUUUAAGUUUGAAAGAUGCAAUUGCUUCACUCAAAGAUGAUCCCGCGUUGUAUUAGCUAGUUGGUGAGGUAAAGGCUCACCAAGGCGAUGAUACAUAGCCGACCUGAGAGGGUGAUCGGCCACAUUGGGAAUGAGACAAGGCCCAAACCUCUACGGGAGGCAGCAGUAGGGAAUUUUCGGCAAUGGACGAAAGUCUGAACGAGCAACGCCGGGGGAGUGAAGAAGGGUUUCGGAUCGUAAAACUCUGUUGGUAGAGAAGGACGUUGGUGAGAGUGGAAAGCUCAUAAAGUGACGGUAACUACCCAGAAAGGGACGGCUAACUACGUG
rnacentral:rRNA from 1 species